CAAAAGUCUCCAGAACACAGGGAAGCCCAGGCUCCCCACCCAUCCUCAUUAACUGCUGGACUUUAAGCCAAUCAAAAGCCUCCAGAGGACAGGAAAGCUCAAACCCCCAACAACCCUCCCCUAGAGAUUACACCAAGAGAUCUUCUGUUAAAGCUCCAAGAGGGGAGACCAAUAGAAGUCCCCAAAAAACAAAAAAAAAAUGAGAGGAACAAGAGCACAGACAAAUAUGGGGAAUAAAGAAGGGGUGAAUUUGAGCAAACAACAGAAAAAGAAGAAAGAAACUAUGAUAGACAGCUACUACUCAGCAAAUGGAACAGAGGGGGAGAGAUCAGCAAACAAUAAACCAGAAAUCCAAGCAAAUUGGAUUCAGGCUGUAGAAGAACUUAAAACACAACUAAGAGAGGCUGAAGACAAUUGGGAAAAGAACUUAAAAAUUAAGAUAGGUCAUCUGGAAACAGAGGCACUUGAACUAAAACAAGAAAAUAAUGUCCUGAAAGCCAAAAUCAUCCAGCUGGAAAAUGAGGCAAAGGAGAUGAAAGAUGAGGCAAAGGAGAUGAAAGACGAGGUAAAGAGGAUGAAAGACGAUCUUCAAAGACAAUCAGACCAGAAGGAAAAAGACGACCAAAAAGCCAGAGAUGAAAUCCAAUCUUUAAGAACCAGAGUAAAACAACUAGAAUCAAGUGACCUCACAAGGCAGCAGGACACUAUAAAACAAAACCAAAAGAAUGAAAAAAUUGAGGAAAAUGUGAAGCAUCUCAUUCACAAAACAGACGAUUUAGAAAAUCGUUCAAGAAGAGACAAUUUAAGAAUAAUUGGACUACCAGAAGACCAUGACAAAAGAAAAAGCCUGGACAUAAUACUAGAGGAAAUUAUCCAGGAAAACUGUCCCGAGAUCCUAGAACAAGAGGGGAAAGUGGAGAUUGAAAGAAUCCACAGAUCACCCCCUGUAUUUAAUCCCUAACUGACAACACCAAGAAAUGUUAUAGCCAAAUUCAAAAACAAUCAGAUGAAAGAACAGAUAUUACAAGCUGCCAAGAAGAAGCCAUUCAGAUACUAUGGAAACACAGUGAGG
rnacentral:lncRNA from 1 species